rnacentral:misc_RNA from 1 species
CUGAUUUUUGUGCAAAUUCUAUCACCAUGGAUACAGGUCAAGAUAUUUUUUACGAUAACGAAGAAAUAAAAUACAUAGUCUUAAUUGUACUGUUCAAAUCUACUAGGUUUU